UACGUAGGGUGCAAGCGUUAUCCGGAAUUAUUGGGCGUAAAGGGCUCGUAGGCGGUUUGUCGCGUCGGGAGUGAAAACUCAGGGCUUAACCCUGAGCCUGCAGUGGGUACGGGCAGGCUAGAGUUCGGUAGGGGAGACUGGAAUUCCUGGUGUAGCGGUGAAAUGCGCAGAUAUCAGGAGGAACACCGGUGGCGAAGGCGGGUCUCUGGGCAGUAACUGACGCUGAGGAGCGAAAGCGUGGGGAGCGAACAGG
rnacentral:rRNA from 1 species